AAGGCCCCUGCAAUAUUCAAGGUUGAACUCAUUUUCUCACCAGCCCUGUUCUUCUUUCUCCUGCUGCUAAUGCCACUCAGACCAGAAUCCAUGGAAGUCAUCUUGGACUUCAUCUUCUCCCUCAGUUUUCACAUUCAGUUUGUUAUUAAAAUAUUAUUUCUACUUCUUGGAUCACUUUGGAAUAUCGACUUUCCUCCCCUCUGGUUUCUUCCCUCUGGUCAUUUUAUCUUAUUAUCUGUUGUCUCUGUCAUUGCUAAGUUGAUUUUUCUAUAAUACAAUGCAAAUUUAAUCACAAUUUUCUUCCUUAGGGUUGUCUAAUAGCUCUUUGCUGCCGUCAUAAAACCCACACUCUUUGAUUAGCUUGGCUUACACUGUCUUCCAGAAUUGGUCCUUUCUACCUUGUCCAUCUCCCUGCAAGGCUGGGAGCUCCUGGUGUUGGGGAUUAUAUUCUCUUCAUCUUCAUCAUUCCAGUGCCUAACACAGUUUUAAGAACCCAAUAAAGUUUUCCUAAAUGAGUGGAUGAGGAGGUAAGCCCUGAAGUAGGCUUUGAAGUUUGGGCUAAGUGGAUAAAAUAUAGAUAGAGGAUCUAAUCUGGAUCCUUUACACAAUUAUUGAGUUGCUAAGGUCAGCUUAUUGAUGAAAGACAUUCCUUGUUAUUAAUUUUUGUAUCUCCAUAACCUUGCAAUGUUUAGCAUAUAAUAGAUGUUCAAUACAUAUUGGAUUAAUUAAUCAAUAAAUUGAUGAAUGUUAUUGUGUAUUUAGCCAAGUGAGUAUUUCUUUUGGGAAAUGUAAUGCUUAAUUAACUACAGAGCAACUUAUUUGGGGAACAGAUGAAAACUCUGUUAAUACUUUGUGACAAGGCUACUAUGCUGGCCAGAUACCUGAGCAAACAGAACAGCCCUGAAGGCAAUUUAAUAGGGCAUAUUUUUUAUUGACCAGAAUAGGGACCUGCUGUUGAAGAGGACACCUGUCUUCCGGAGGUCAGCAGCUCCAGCAUUAGAUUUAAUAACUGUAACCAGAUAUGGCUACAGGUGCUGCCAGAACAGGGCUAUCCCAAGGUGUCGCUCAGUUCAGUUCAGUCGCUUGGUCGUGCCCGACUCUUUGCGACUCCAUGGACUGCAGCACGCCAGGCCUUCCUGUCCAUCGCCAACUCCCAGAGUUCACUCAAACUCAUGUCCAUUGAGU
rnacentral:lncRNA from 1 species